AAAGGGAAAGGGAAAGGGAAAGGGAAAGGGAAAGGAACAGGGAAAGUAACAGGGAAAGGGAAAGGGAAAGGAACAGGAAAACAGUAGAGGACAUGGAGCUGUCUCCAUGGUGCUGAUGCAUGAGAUUUAGUAAGACAAUUUCUUAAAGAUAAAAUCCCAUUUGCAGCUCUCUCUAACCUUCAUCUGCAAUCUCUAAGGUGACCUGUCUGGGAAGUUGGAUCAGACGCAGUAGGUAAAGCCUUGAUGCUGCAUCCACACACUGUUGAUUUCCCAGUGUAGAGGGUCUCCCGUCCAGCACCAGGUACACACAGAAAAACCCAGCAGCCCCCAAAAUGGCAAAACAAAGCUGGUGGAUGGGGAGAAGGAAAGGAAGGGGGUGACGUGGCCAGCUCCCACUGACAAGAUCAUCAUGGGACAUGUGAGGGGAAGCUGUCACCGAUGAGAUGAGAUUGUGAGAGGAGUCUCCUGACCACGGGACCCAUUCUCAGGGCACAGGUCUGCUCCGUAGCACAAGGGAGGAGGCUGAAGCAGAGCAGGGUGGCCCUGGCAUCUGUUGCCAGCCCCUUUCUCCCGGCAAGCCUGACCCUGUGGAGGCCCCGUGUGUUGGUGCUCCUGUGAUGGUGUUGUUCCCAGGAGCUCCAGGAGGAGGUGCUGGGAGAGGGACAAGGUGGCCACCCAGAGCAGGAGCUUCACCGUCGCAGAGACCAGCACAACAGAGCUCUCCCUGUUCAAUGAUUCCUUGGAUGCUGGAAGGAAUAGAAGAGGGAGCAGGGCUUCUUGUGAAUCACAGGCUUUUACAGUUGACUUUUUAUCUCUGUUUUGGUGGUGUGUUUGGCUGUGUGUGUUGGUGGUGAAUGUGGUGGAUUUAUGGUUUCUGGGCUUCCAUAUGAACAGCCCCUUCACCUUCUACAUUUUGAACCUGGUCAUUUGGUCAUUGCUGAGUUCUCUCUGAUUAUUUUUUUUAACCAUUUACAUUACACAGUGCAAUGUUUGCUUGAACUUCCCAGAUUUGCUCUUCACUGUAGUUUACCUCACGUUUCUCUUUUACUUUAGCAGCAUGUAUCUCCUGACAGCGAUUGGUAUGGAGCAAUGACUGCCCUCUUCCCAGUCUGGUACCGAUGCCACCACCACAACCACUUACCAGGCCUCAUCUGUGGCAUGCUCUGGUCUUUCCCUAUCCUUUUCAUUUGCUUAACUUCUAUUUGUUGCAAUUUUAACCUAAUGUCUGUCCGUGGCAACAUAUUCAGUUCCGUUGCGACUACCUCAGUGUACUACAGAGAAAUCCAGCGGUGCAAAUGUCAUGUGCUGGGGAGCGGGAGUGCUUGGGCAGGGGAGAGCAGGGGAGCAGCAGGUCCCAGGGAUGCUUUUUUUGAAUCUCUGCCUAAAGCAGGGAAAGGAGGGGAAAUGUUUUGAUCAGAACACUCAAAGAAAUAACAGGGGGUCACAGCCUUUCUUUUAUGUUUCAUUUGCUUUUUACAGAUCUGCAAUUUCACUGAAGCUGUUUCAUGUCAGUUAACAGAAUUUGGAAAACAUUUGAUGAUUGAGUACAAUAUUGUUUUAGGAGAGACAUGUCUAGAAACUGUGAUAUCUGCUUGCUGUCCUCUCCCCUUUAGUCACACUCUCAGCUCCACUGGUUGUAUUUACUGGAUCCCUGUAGUUAUAGUGGGGUUACCUGACAUGCUAGCAAUUCCUGCAUUGCAGGAACCCAAAGUCCAGUCACCUAAAUCCUACUGUGAAAAGGCUAAAGACAAAUUUAGAUAAUCCCAAAGAGAUUUAAUUUAUUUCUAACUGAAGUUUUCUUCAACAAUAGAAAAGAAAAUCACCAUAAAAAUAGAAGUAUUGCUGUUUCUUAUGGUAGUCUUAGGAAACAACUGAGAGAGCAUUUGUACGUACAGGCAGUAUCUCUGGACCUUGUGUUAUUCACCUGCCAAAAAGCAACUGCAGCUGUUAAAUACUUGACUAAUGAGGCUGGAAAUAGCUGUACAAAAAUAAAAUAAAAUAAAAUAAAAUUCUAUUUUCUGUCCUUUUUCAGUGUAUUCUGACUUGAAGAUUUUUCUUGCAUCUUACAUAAAAAAAGUAUUUAUGCAGUUUAGUUUCCUUCUAUCUUCAUUCUUCCUUUUGUGUCUUUUCAUUACAAUCUGUCUUAUCAUUAGUGCUGUCUUUAACAAUAAUUCACGUAUUAAUUCUUCUACCACACAUUGUGCAAUAAGUAUUCCUCAUUCUUCUCAGAUCCCAUCUUUUUGACAGGAACUUCCAACAAAGUGUAUAUUGGUGUUCUGAUGCAAAGCACAGCUAUGGAUGGAAAUACAUCCUAAGGCAGUUCUGGAAUAGGCAUAAUAUCUGAGAUAACAAGAUGUAUUUUUUAAGACGGAGAAAUCAACAUUGCCAAAUAUCCAUGAGAUUCAUCAAUUAAGAAUGGAGAACAAUAAAAAUGCAAAACAAAACAAUUUAAGAGGUGCUAAUAUUCAUGUAACUACUAAAACAGAAACAAUCUAUAUAAAAUAGAAAUAUCUGCCAGUAAAAAUAAAUAAUAAAUAAAUAAAUAAAUUAAUUAAUAAAAUUCUAUAGCUGUUUAUCUUAUGAA